CGCCUCUAUAGCAUCAUUUGUCCUAACCCCCUCCCAAGCAGGUUUACUACCCACAUAGUGGCCAUCUCCCUCUUCAUGACUGUCUAUAAGCUUCGUGGUCUUAAUGUUUAAAACAGAAGUAUCUUCUCUUUCCUCAGUCUCUAUGGGCCUUAUCUUAUCAAACGCAACAUGUGAUUGAUGAGCUGACACCAUCUUAUUUCCCCCAUCAUUACUAUCAUUGCUUUUGCUAGACGGGUAAUCAUCAUGAUCAUAUAUUAUCUCCUCUUUGUGCUCAUCCCAAUCCAAAUCUUUUCUCUCCUCAUCCUCCUUUGUAAGGGUAAUAAUUGAUCUCAGCCGCUUUGAAAUGUUCCCACCAGUCACUUUCUCCUCACUCC
rnacentral:misc_RNA from 1 species